GAUGAAGAACGUAGUGAAAUGCGAUACGUAGUGUGAAUUGCAGAAUUCCGUGAACCAUCAAAUCUUUGAACGCAUAUUGAGCUCGAGGCUUCGGCCGAGAGCAUGUCUGCCUCAGCGUCGGUAUUACCCCUCGCUUCUCAACCCCUGGUUGAUGCCUGCCUGCCUUUGCAGUUGGCUAGAAGCGGAUCUGGCUUUCCCAAUUGCCUUUGGUAGUUGGGUCAGCUGAAGCACAGAGGCUUGAGCAAGGACCCUUAUUGGGCUUCAACUGGAUAGGUAGAACUGGUCUUAGGACCAACUACACGAAGUUGUUGCUUGUGGUCUUUUGUCUGGAGGCCAGCAGGAAACCUUUAUACCUUCGACCUGAGCUCAGGCAAGAUUACCCGCUGAACUUAAGCAUAUCAAUAAGCGGAGGA
rnacentral:misc_RNA from 1 species